CAGCCCUCUGCAGCAGCCCCCAGCCUCCUCGUCCGCGGCCCCUUGGGACCCCAGCAGCCCCCAGCUCCAAGGGGCACCCAGGAGCUCUCAGCACCCUGGAGCACCCAAGGGACUCCCCAGCACCCUCCAGCUCCAAAGGGUACCCAGGGUCCCCCAGCACUUAAGGGACGCCCCCCCCACAUCCCUCAGCUCCAACAGAUACUAGGAACCCCCAAUACCCUGCAGGACCCCAA